rnacentral:rRNA from 1 species
AUUGAACGCUGGCGGCAUGCUUUACACAUGCAAGUCGAACGGUAACAGGGUGCUUGCACCGCUGACGAGUGGCGAACGGGUGAGUAAUGCGUCGGAACGUGCCGAGUAGUGGGGGAUAACGCAGCGAAAGUUGUGCUAAUACCGCAUACGUACUGAGGUAGAAAGUGGGGGACCUUCGGGCCUCACGCUAUUCGAGCGGCCGACGUCUGAUUAGCUAGUAGGUGAGGUAAGAGCUCACCUAGGCGACGAUCAGUAGCGGGUCUGAGAGGAUGAUCCGCCACACUGGGACUGAGACACGGCCCAGACUCCUACGGGAGGCAGCAGUGGGGAAUUUUGGACAAUGGGCGCAAGCCUGAUCCAGCCAUGCCGCGUGUCUGAAGAAGGCCUUCGGGUUGUAAACUGCUUUUGUACGGAACGAAAAGACUCUUUCUAAUAAAGAGGGUCCAUGACGGUACCGUAAGAAUAAGCACCGGCUAACUACGUGCCAGCAGCCGCCGUAACAC